rnacentral:rRNA from 1 species
CUUUUCACCACCUGUGCACAUUUUGUAGGCUUGGAUAAAUAUGUCUCGAGGAAGCUCGGUUUGAGGACUGCCGUGCUGCAAAAACCAGGCUUUCCUUGUAUUUUUCCAGCCUAUGCAUUUUAUUAUACACUCGGUAUGUCAUGGAAUGUUAUUUGGUUGGCUUAAUUGCCAGUAAACCUUAUACAACUUUCAACAACGGAUCUCUUGGCUCUCGCAUCGAUGAAGAACGCAGCGAAAUGCGAUAAGUAAUGUGAAUUGCAGAAUUCAGUGAAUCAUCGAAUCUUUGAACGCACCUUGCGCUCCUUGGUAUUCCGAGGAGCAUGCCUGUUUGAGUGUCAUGAAAUUCUCAACCUUUUCAGCUUUUUGUUGAAUAGGCUUGGAUUUUGGGAGUUGUUGCAGGCUGCUCAGAAGUCUGCUCUCCUUAAAUGUAUUAGCGGGGCCCUUGUUGUCUAGCAUUUGGUGUGAUAAUUAUCUACGCCAUUGUGAACAAUGUAAUAGGUCGGCUUCUAAUCGUCUCGUAAAGAGACAAUCUCUGACAUUUUGACCUCAAAUCAGGUAGGACUACCCGCUGAACUUAAGCAUAUCAAUAAGCGGAGGAAAAGAAACUAACAAGGAUUCCCCUAGUAACUGCGAGUGAAGCGGGAAAAGCUCAAUUUAAAAUCUGAUGG